ACUGUCCCUCUGUCUUCUGUGGCAUCCUUUGCCUUGCAGCCACAGCCCAGCUAGCCCAGGCCAAGGGAGUCCGACCCCCACCCCGAAGCACAGGGAAGUUGCUGCCCUUUCCCGCAGUGACAGGAAUCCUCUCAAAGGUUCUGGAAGGCAAGGAUGCGGCCAUCCCUGGAGACGCCAAGGACCAUCAUGUGAGGUGGCUUUUAUCCUCCUCGCCCCUACUGGUACAGACGAGAAGAAACUGUGACUCAGAAGUUAAGCAUUUUCCCAUGGUCACUGGGCUACACAGAAAGGCCAGGAUUUGAACCCAAGCUUCUGCUUCCACCCAUCUUCAUUAGGAGUCAAGUUAUACUGUGGGUCUCAACCAUGGCUGCUCACUGGAAUCACCUGGAAGCUUCCCAAGUACUGAUGUCUGUGUCCCCAGCCCAGAGGUUCUGAUAUCAUUGUCUGGGUGUGGCCUAGCCUUGGAUCUGCAAAAGCUCCCUAGGCAGUUCCACUGCAUGAAGUUGAGAACCACUGAUACAGAGUGACCUCACCUCCCCACCCCCAAUGGAGGUGCUAUGGUUUGAAGAGCAAAACUCAUGUUGAAAUUUAACUGUUCUUGCACCUCCUGCAGAGCCUGGGAGCUCCCAGUCCAGCCAAGGAUGUUGGAUCUCAUGGUCCUAAGUACUUCUUUGACACCCCAUUCCCCUCAGUAAAAUAGUUUGACCCCUUCUCCACCAAAAAAAAAAAAAAAAGAAAGAAAUUUAAUUGCCAUGAUGAUGGUAUUAAAAGGUGGGACCUUUAAGAGGUGAUUAGGUUAUGAGGGUUCAGCCCUCAUGAAUGGAUUAAUGCCGUUAUCUUGGGAGUGGAUUAGUUAUCCCAGGAAUGCAGCUCCUGAUAAAAAGGAUGACUUUGGCCUGAUUUCCUGUCUCUGUCUCAUGUGCUGGGUUCUGCCUUCUGCCAUAGGAUGACCCUUGCCAGAUGCCAGCGCCAUGCCCUUAGACUUCCCAGCCUCUGGAACUGUGACCCUAAUGAAUUUCUGUUCAUUAUAAACUACGCAGGCAGUGGCAUUCUGUUAUAGGAAGCAGAAAAUGGACGAGGACAGUGAGCAAGGGUAUAAUGAACAACCUUUAAAGAAAUACUAUUAAUAAAAAGCUAACAUUCAGCUAGGUCUUGCCAUGCACCACCGCGCUCAUUUAACUGUCACAACAGCCCAUCGGGUAGGUGUUGCUAUUAUCCCCCAUUUUACUGAAGUAAUUGAGGCAGGUUAAGUAUUAACUGGGGAAAUCAGCAUUUGAAUGUAGGUACUUCUGACAUUGGACCCCUCAUACACAACAACUCUGCUGUAUUGUCUCCAACUAAGUCUCAGAAGUGAUUUAGAAAGUCAUACAGGCCAGGCACAGUGGCUCAUUCCUGUAAUCCCAACACUUUGGGAGGCUGAGGUGGGAGGAUUGCUUGAGCCCAGGAGUUUGGGAGCAGCCUGGGCAACAUAGGAGACCCUGUCUCUACAAAAUAAAUAUAAAUAAAUAAAUUAGUCAGGUGUGGUGGUGCGUGCCUGUACUCCCAGCUAUUUGGGAGGCUGAGGGGGGAGGAUCACUUGAGCCCAGGAGGUCACGGCUGCAGUGAGCUAUGAUCAUGCCACUGUAUCCCAUCCUGGGCAAGAGAGCAAGACGCUUAAAAAAAAAAGUCACACAACAGAUUAUUCAUGAGUUAAAAUAAACUUGGCAUCUACCAAUCA